rnacentral:rRNA from 1 species
GAGUGAAAUAGAUCCUGAAACCGUGUACGUACAAGCAGUGGGAGCGGACUUGUUCCGUGACUGCGUACCUUUUGUAUAAUGGGUCAACGACUUAUUUUCAGUAGCAAGGUUAAGCACAUAGUGGAGCCGUAGGGAAACCGAGUCUUAAUAGGGCGUUUAGUUGCUGGGUAUAGACCCGAAACCAGGUGAUCUAUCCAUGAGCAGGUUGAAGGUUGGGUAACACUAACUGGAGGACCGAACCCACUGUCUUUGAAAAGCCAGGGGAUGACUUGUGGAUAGGGGUGAAAGGCUAAUCAAACUUAGUUAUAGCUGGUUUUCUAUGAAAUCUAUUUUAGUAGAG